UGGGGAAUAUUGGACAAUGGGCGGAAGCCUGAUCCAGCCAUGCCGCGUGUGUGAAGAAGGCCUUUUGGUUGUAAAGCACUUUAAGCGAGGAGGAGGCUACUACUACUAAUACUACUGGAUAGUGGACGUUACUCGCAGAAUAAGCACCGGCUAACUCUGUGCCAGCAGCCGCGGUAAUACAGAGGGUGCGAGCGUUAAUCGGAUUUACUGGGCGUAAAGCGUGCGUAGGCGGCUAAUUGAGUCGGAUGUGAAAUCCCCGAGCUUAACUUGGGAAUUGCAUUCGAUACUGGUUAGCUAGAGUGUGGGAGAGGAUGGUAGAAUUCCAGGUGUAGCGGUGAAAUGCGUAGAGAUCUGGAGGAAUACCGAUGGCGAAGGCAGCCAUCUGGCCUAACACUGACGCUGAGGUACGAAAGCAUGGGGAGCAAACAGG
rnacentral:rRNA from 1 species